UACGUAGGGGACCAAGCGUUGUUCGGAUUUACUGGGCGUAAAGGGCGCGUAGGCGGCGUGUUAAGUCAGCUGUGAAAUCUCCAAGCUUAACUUGGAACGGUCAGCUGAUACUGAUGUGCUAGAGUGCAGAAGGGGCAACCGGAAUUCUUGGUGUAGCGGUGAAAUGCGUAGAUAUCAAGAGGAACACCUGAGGUGAAGACGGGUUGCUGGGCUGACACUGACGCUGAGGCGCGAAAGCUAGGGUAGCAAACGGG
rnacentral:rRNA from 1 species